AUCAGAUUAGCUAGUUGGUGGGGUAAAAGCUCACCAAGGCGACGACCCGUAGCUGGUCUGAGAGGACGACCAGCCACACUGGGACUGAGACACGGCCCAGACUCCUACGGGAGGCAAGCAGUGGGGAAUAUUGGACAAUGGGCGCAAGCCUGAUCCAGCCAUGCCGCGUGGGUGAUGAAGGCCCUAGGGUUGUAAAGCCCUUUCGGCGGGGAAGAUAAUGACGGUACCCGCAGAAGAAGCCCCGGCUAACUUCGUGCCCGCAGCCGCGGUAAUACGAAGGGGGCUAGCGUUGCUCGGAAUCACUGGGCGUAAAGCGCACGUAGGCGGCUUUUUAAGUCAGGGGUGAAAUCCUGGAGCUCAACUCCAGAACUGCCUUUGAUACUGAGAAGCUCGAGUCUGGGAGAGGUGAGUGGAACUGUGAGUGUAGAGGUGAAAUUCGUAGAUAUUCGCAAGAACACCAGUGGCGAAGGCGGCUCACUGGCCCGGUACUGACGCUGAGGUGCGAAAGCGUGGGGAGCA
rnacentral:rRNA from 1 species